CUCUUCCUCUUUCGCUCUUUCUAUCUCUCUCUACAUCUCUCUCUCUCUGUGUGUAUGCGUGUUUGUCACAAUUUGGAUGUGGAUUCUUCAAUUGUUAAUUGAUUUUGUCUUCAAUUUCUGGGUUUAUGUUAAUUUGUUGAUAUUUUGAUUACUAUGAUUUAGGAUUUUGAGUUUAUGUGUUCAAUUUAUGUUUUCUUCAUUUUAGGGUUUGAUUCAUUGGUUCUUUUUGGGGUUUGAUUCAUGGGUUCUUUUUUGUUAAUCUUUUUAGUUAGGUUUUUGAGUUCAAUUGAAUUUAGUACCACCAUACAGAACACAUGAACCUCAACUCUCCCUCCCCCAUUACAUAUUAAACAUCACUUGUGAUAUGAGAUGUUGUCUUCAAUUUCUCUGAGUCUUAGCAAAUGAUGUGUUAUUAUGGUUGUGUUCAAUUGAAUUUUAAUGGAUCACAUUUAGCCUUUUCUUAUUAUGUUAAUAGCGUUUCCCUUCUGAUGACUUUCUAUAAUGUCUAAGUGUGUGGAGAUUGUCCAUUCCUUGUUUCAUACUUUCCUGAUCCUUUAGCAUCAACCUCGGGAGCAGAUGGAAGCUUGUCGGUAUCUAGAUCUAGUGUUGAUCAUGAAAUCAAUUUGAGGAUUUAUUUGUAGAUGGAUGCUGUUGUAAAUUCAACCAAUGAGAAAACUAAGCGAGAGUUGGAGAAGCUUGCUCGAAAGGUUUAGCAUUUGAAUGAGGGAUUAUAUUUUUCAAAUGGAGGACAAUGAACUUGAUUUCUUGCCGCUGGGUUUGUGUUCAUCUUCUCGCCGCUAGGUUUGCGUUCAUCUUCCUCUCACCAUUGGGUUUGCAUUCAUAGCUCUCAUCGAUGGGUUUACAUUCAGUUUCCUUCACUAGUGAUUAUAUUCAGACCAUGUCAGAAGGCUUAAAUAGUUAAGAGUUAGAGAGAAGGGAACCAAAGUAUUUUGAAGGUUGAUUAAUAGAGGAAGACAAGAAGCAAGGAUCUAGGAGUUCAGUAUAAUUUUUGUGUUAUUUCAUAUCUAUGUUUUUUCUAUAAAUAUGUAUAAAAUUGAUCUUCUGUAGGGGAAAGUUACUUAUUUUGUUGUGAAGUUAAUGAAGAGUGUGUGUGUGUUGUGUUUACCUGUCAAACUGAAUGUGACCUUAUAUCGCGCAGGUUUACCUUUGUAGAACCCAUUCAUCCGAAGAUUGUAGGAAGCCUGUAAGAUGCUCAAGCUUUUGCUCGAAAUCAAGCCAACAAGGACACUGUUCGAUUCAACAUGGUGUUGCUACCUCUAAUCCGCUGCUGCGAUUAAUUCGGUGCUAAAGAGAUGGUUGCUAAUGAAAAUAAUGUGAUGGGUGGUGAAGUUUAGCUUUAGUUACUUUCCUUCCGUUAUGUAGUUUUUUCAAAACAAUUAUAUGUAUUUGAUAUUACUAUCUAAGUAUUAUAGUGUUGCAUUUGAUA